CUGUGGUUAUCUAGAGAUAGGAGAGUGUGGAUGGACCAUGGAGUAGGCUUGUGCUGAUUGUCCAGCUGCACUCUGUAAAACAAGGAGAAGAAAGAAAAAGACUACUUGACUUUUUCACGGUGCCUGUGGCUCCCUUAGGACAGCAGAUUUACAUUCUUACCAUGAAGUUUGCAAAGUGAAUUAUGGAGCUGAGGCUGUGUUCUGCCGAGCGUGGUGGCCUCAGAACAGCUUUCUGAGGAMGGCUGGCAGUAGGC
rnacentral:lncRNA from 1 species